GUUUCUUUUUCCCAUCGCGAACCAUUUCUCUGUUCUUCUUGUUAUCAUACCGGCUGCAUGAUUCAUUACCUUUCUUUUGUCGAACAACAGAAACAUUACGUUUCAAUUUCUUUAUAAGAAAUCGCUUUAAUUUUUGUACAGGUCCGUCACAAUGCUGUUGAAUUACCUCAUUGUUACAUUGAACCUUAUUGGGCUUUUUAUCUACU
rnacentral:misc_RNA from 1 species